rnacentral:rRNA from 1 species
ACGCUGGCGGCAGGCCUAACACAUGCAAGUCGAGCGGUAGAGAGAAGCUUGCUUCUCUUGAGAGCGGCGGACGGGUGAGUAAUGCCUAGGAAUCCGCCUGGUAGUGGGGGAUAACGUUCGGAAACGGACGCUAAUACCGCAUACGUCCUACGGGAGAAAGCAGGGGACCUUCGGGCCUUGCGCUAUCAGAUGAGCCUAGGUCGGAUUAGCUAGUUGGUGGGGUAAUGGCUCACCAAGGCGACGAUCCGUAACUGGUCUGAGAGGAUGAUCAGUCACACUGGAACUGAGACACGGUCCAGACUCCUACGGGAGGCAGCAGUGGGGAAUAUUGGACAAUGGGCGAAAGCCUGAUCCAGCCAUGCCGCGUGUGUGAAGAAGGUCUUCGGAUUGUAAAGCACUUUAAGUUGGGAGGAAGGGCAGUUGCCUAAUACGUAACUGUUUUGACGUUACCGACAGAAUAAGCACCGGCUAACUCUGUGCCAGCAGCCGCGGUAAUACAGAGGGUGCAAGCGUUAAUCGGAAUUACUGGGCGUAAAGCGCGCGUAGGUGGUUUGUUAAGUUGGAUGUGAAAUCCCCGGGCUCAACCUGGGAACUGCAUUCAAAACUGACUGACUAGAGUAUGGUAGAGGGUGGUGGAAUUUCCUGUGUAGCGGUGAAAUGCGUAGAUAUAGGAAGGAACACCAGUGGCGAAGGCGACCACCUGGACUGAUACUGACACUGAGGUGCGAAAGCGUGGGGAGCAAAC